rnacentral:rRNA from 1 species
AGAGUUUGAUCAUGGCUCAGGAUGAACGCUAGCGGCAGGCUUAAUACAUGCAAGUCGUGGGGCAGCAUGGGUGUAGCAAUACAUCUGAUGGCGACCGGCAAACGGGUGCGGAACACGUACACAACCUUCCUUUAAGUGGGGAAUAGCCCAGGGAAACUUGGAUUAAUACCCCGUAACAUUAUGAAAUGGCAUCAUUUUAUAAUUAUAGCUCCGGCGCUUAAUGAUGGGUGUGCGGCUGAUUAGGUAGUUGGCGGGGUAACGGCCCACCAAGCCUUCGAUCAGUAACUGGUGUGAGAGCACGACCAGUCACACGGGCACUGAGACACGGGCCCGACUCCUACGGGAGGCAGCAGUAAGGAAUAUUGGUCAAUGGACGCAAGUCUGAACCAGCCAUGCCGCGUGGAGGAUGAAGGUCCUCUGGAUUGUAAACUUCUUUUAUCUGGGAAGAAACCCACGGUUUCUACUGUGGUUGACGGUACCAGAUGAAUAAGCACCGGCUAACUCCGUGCCAGCAGCCGCGGUAAUACGGAGGGUGCAAGCAUUAUCCGGAUUCACUGGGUUUAAAGGGUGCGUAGGUGGGUCUGUAAGUCCGUGGUGAAAUCUCCGAGCUUAACUUGGAAACUGCCAUGGAUACUAUAGGUCUUGAAUACUGUGGAGGUCAGCGGAAUAUGUCAUGUAGCGGUGAAAUGCUUAGAUAUGACAUAGAACACCAAUUGCGAAGGCAGCUGGCUACACAAAUAUUGACACUGAGGCACGAAAGCGUGGGGAUCAAACAGGAUUAGAUACCCUAGUAGUCC